rnacentral:sRNA from 2 species
ACCUUUAGAUCGCUUAAUUUUAAGAUUUUGUAUAAGCUUAAAAGCGGGGGAACCAAUCAUUUGGGGUGAAUCUUUUUAUUAAAGAGGGGAUACUUCCGAUUCCUAAUCCGUCAGCUAACCUCGUAAGCGUUAAACAAGGAAGAA